CGCUUUCUGACGUCAUCUUUGUGAGUGACACUCUUUUUAAAUUUGUUUAUGAGCUUUUAAGACUUUAGUUUAGGACAAUUGUGAGGAACUUGACUGAGAGAAUU